GAAGCUGGCUAGGCAGUCGCUGCCUCUUUUUCAGUAAUGGAAAAUUGGGAGAGGAAAGUCCGGGCUCCAUAGAGCGGGAUGCCGGUUAAUAGCCGGCCGCCGUGAGGCGAGGAACAGGGCCACAGAGACGAGCGUAUUAAGUUACGGUGAAACGCGGUAACCUCCAUCCGGAGCAAGACCAAAUAGGCAGACGAUGACGUUGCUCGCUGAGUCUGCGGGUAGGUUGCUUGAGCACACGAGUAACCGUGUGCCUAGAGGAAUGACUGUCCACGACAGAACCCGGCUUAUCGGCCAGCUUCACUU
rnacentral:RNase_P_RNA from 1 species